rnacentral:lncRNA from 1 species
CAGACUAGAAAUCGAGAUUGAGGUGUUGGUGGACGGGUCUCUCCCGAGACCUCUGUCCAUCUUCUCCCUGUGUCUUCUCAUCUUCCCUCCACGGGUCGGCGUCUGGUCUCCUUACGAGGACAGCAGUCAGACGGCAUUAGCCCCCUGAGGACCUAGUACAGACCUGAUCACCUCUUUAAAGACCCCCAUCUCCACACACAGGCACACUCUGAGAGGCCGAGGGUCGGGACCCCAACACAUGAGUGUGAGGGAGACACAAUUUAGCCUCAGGGGUGGGUGACCUGGCCUCGCAACAUACGCCUGACGCCUGCCCUGCAGAUGGGUCCUGAUGGCCAACAACAUGGAACUCGCCUCGGUGGAUGGUGACACCAACACGUGACUUGAAGCAUCCUGGGCUUAAGGGAGGCACUGGAACCAGCCUGACAGGUCAGAGCCUGCAGAGGACCAGAUCAGCUGGCGGAGCGGCCACUGGAAGUCUGAGCACACGGGGAGGGAAUCUGAGCGUCUCUCUAAUUACGGCAGGUUAAUUAGUCCUCCCCGUUCCAGAAACGAAGCGUCCAUCACUCGAGUACAGCGUCCAUCACUGGAACCCGCUCCCUGCCUGCCGCUGGUGGGCGGAGAGCACUGGAGGAGCCAGGCCUGGCUGAGGCUCCCGCCCUCUGGCCGCCCUGGACCGGACGCCAGGCCCAGCCGUGAUCUUGUUCCACCUGGGGGACGGCCAGGGGGAAGGCUGAGCAGGGCUUCCCCAGCCUGUUCCCCACGACCAGGGUGAGCCUCCAGGAGCCCAGGGAGGCCCGGGCCCUGCUCCCGCACUGCCCCAGCCGGCCCCCAGGAAGGAGCCCCGGGCCAGCGUGCCGGUCAGAUGGGCUCCAGGAGCCUGCUCCUCAAGCCUGGCCCAGGCGCGGAGCCUUGGUCUAUAGCCUUGUCCCCAAGCCCCGCAGUGCCAUCAACGGGCAUCGUGAGUCUGGGGGGCGAUCUUCUUGAACGAGUGUCCCCCAUUUGCUGGGGCCCCAGAGACCCCGAUGGCUGCUCGCCAUCUCUGGUUUUCCUGGCUGUGCCUCACGGUCGGCCCCUCUCCUGGGUGUAGGGGUCUUCAUUACCACCCUUCAGGAAGCUGCCACCAACAGUCUUCUUUAAUGACAUCCCAGAUAAGUGUCAGGAUGGUGCUAUGGUUAGACCAUGUCCCCAGAAGCUCAUGUGUUGGAAAUUUGAUCCCCUAAGUCACACGUAGAUGGCAUUUGCAGGUGGUACCUUGGGAGGUCACAGGAUUGCGUGAGGUCAUGCCAGUGGGGCCCGUGGUGGUGAAUAAACCUUUAUGCUUUAUAAAUACCUGGGCUCGGGCCUCGUGUUACAGUAGUAGAAAAUGGACUAAGACAGAUGGAAAAAGGA